rnacentral:misc_RNA from 1 species
GACCGUUGACACCAAGAAAAUACCAAAUUUCAAUAAUUGAAUUCCCUCAUCAAUGCAAAUAUCCAAACUGUCAUACUCAAGUGAAAACCCACAAAUUAUACUGAUGAGACUAUAACAAAUUGGAAACUACUUUGACAACAUCCCUCGUCCUAGCUUUUUAGGAUAACAACUUAGAUUGUGUUUAAGCAUGUAUUAAAUGGCUACCCUUUAAGUCUAACAAACUGAACCUUAUUAGUUAAGACUAACAACUGAC